UCCGUAGGUGAACCUGCGGAGGGAUCAUUACCGAGUUAUACAACUCAUCAACCCUGUGAACAUACCUAAAACGUUGCUUCGGCGGGAACAGACGGCCCUGUAACAACGGGCCGCCCCCGCCAGAGGACCCCUAACUCUGUUUUUAUAAUGUUUUUCUGAGUAAACAAGCAAAUAAAUUAAAACUUUCAACAACGGAUCUCUUGGCUCUGGCAUCGAUGAAGAACGCAGCGAAAUGCGAUAAGUAAUGUGAAUUGCAGAAUUCAGUGAAUCAUCGAAUCUUUGAACGCACAUUGCGCCCGCCAGUAUUCUGGCGGGCAUGCCUGUUCGAGCGUCAUUACAACCCUCAGGCCCCCGGGCCUGGCGUUGGGGAUCGGCGGAAGCCCCCCUGUGGGCACACGCCGUCCCUCAAAUACAGUGGCGGUCCCGCCGCAGCUUCCAUUGCGUAGUAGCUAACACCUCGCAACUGGAGAGCGGCGCGGCCAUGCCGUAAAACACCCAACUUCUGAAUGUUGACCUCGAAUCAGGUAGGAAUACCCGCUGAACUUAAGCAUAUCAAUAAGCGGAGGAA
rnacentral:rRNA from 1 species